CUUUCAACAACGGAUCUCUUGGUUCUCGCAUCGAUGAAGAGCGCAGCGAAAUGCGAUACCUAGUGUGAAUUGCAGCCAUCGUGAAUCAUCGAGUUCUUGAACGCACAUUGCGCCCCAUGGUAUUCCAUGGGGCAUGCCUGUCUGAGCGUCGUUUCC
rnacentral:rRNA from 1 species